AGAGUUUGAUCCUGGCUCAGAAUCAACGCUGGCGGCGUGCCUCAGACAUGCAAGUCGAACGAUUAAAGCUCUCUUCGGAGAGUGUAUAGAGUGGCGCACGGGUGAGUAACACGUAAGUAAUCUACCUUCGAGUGGGGAAUAACGUCCGGAAACGGACGCUAAUACCGCAUAAUGCAGCGGCAUCUUAUGAUGACAGUUGUUAAAGGAGCAAUUCGCUUGAAGAGGAGCUUGCGGCAGAUUAGCUAGUUGGUAAGGUAAUGGCUUACCAAGGCUACGAUCUGUAACCGGUCUAAGAGGACGGUCGGUCACACUGACACUGAAUAACGGGUCAGACUCCUACGGGAGGCAGCAGUCGGGAAUUUUGGGCAAUGGGCGAAAGCCUGACCCAGCAACGCCGCGUGAAGGA
rnacentral:rRNA from 1 species